rnacentral:rRNA from 1 species
UACGUAGGGCGCAAGCGUUGUCCGGAAUUAUUGGGCGUAAAGAGCUCGUAGGCGGUUUGUCACGUCGGAUGUGAAGGCCCGGGGCUUAACCCCGGGUCUGCAUUCGAUACGGGCAGACUAGAGUGUGGUAGGGGAGAUCGGAAUUCCUGGUGUAGCGGUGAAAUGCGCAGAUAUCAGGAGGAACACCGGUGGCGAAGGCGGAUCUCUGGGCCAUUACUGACGCUGAGGAGCGAAAGCGUGGGGAGCGAACAGG